rnacentral:rRNA from 1 species
UACAGAGGUCUCAAGCGUUGUUCGGAUUCAUUGGGCGUAAAGGGUGCGUAGGCGGCGCGGUAAGUCGGGUGUGAAAUCUCGGAGCUUAACUCCGAAACUGCAUUCGAUACUGCCGUGCUUGAGGACUGGAGAGGAGACUGGAAUUUACGGUGUAGCGGUGAAAUGCGUAGAUAUCGUAAGGAAGACCAGUGGCGAAGGCGGCUCACUGGUCCGGUACUGACGCUGAUGUGCGAAAGCGUGGGGAGCAAACAGG